rnacentral:rRNA from 1 species
ACCUGCGGAGGUCAUUAUUG